rnacentral:tRNA from 1 species
GGUGGUGUAGCAUAACUGGAUAAUGCACCAGUCUUCUAAACUGGCGAUUGUAGGUUCAAGUCCUACCACCAUCACUA